AGGUUUGUAGCUAAAGGUCUAGCUUGUUUUAUAAUUAAAACAGAUUAACUGUUCAAUUCAGUUCGAACCUA
rnacentral:tRNA from 1 species